ACGCUGGCGGCGUGCCUAAUACAUGCAAGUAGAACGCUGAAGAGAGGAGCUUGCUCUUCUUGGAUGAGUUGCGAACGGGUGAGUAACGCGUAGGUAACCUGCCUUGUAGCGGGGGAUAACUAUUGGAAACGAUAGCUAAUACCGCAUAACAAUGGAUGACACAUGUCAUUUAUUUGAAAGGGGCAAUUGCUCCACUACAAGAUGGACCUGCGUUGUAUUAGCUAGUAGGUGAGGUAACGGCUCACCUAGGCGACGAUACAUAGCCGACCUGAGAGGGUGAUCGGCCACACUGGGACUGAGACACGGCCCAGACUCCUACGGGAGGCAGCAGUAGGGAAUCUUCGGCAAUGGGGGCAACCCUGACCGAGCAACGCCGCGUGAGUGAAGAAGGUUUUCGGAUCGUAAAGCUCUGUUGUAAGUCAAGAACGAGUGUGAGAGUGGAAAGUUCACACUGUGACGGUAGCUUACCAGAAAGGGACGGCUAACUACGUGCCAGCAGCCGCGGUAAUACGUAGGUCCCGAGCGUUGUCCGGAUUUAUUGGGCGUAAAGCGAGCGCAGGCGGUUUGAUAAGUCUGAAGUUAAAGGCUGUGGCUCAACCAUAGUUCGCUUUGGAAACUGUCAAACUUGAGUGCAGAAGGGGAGAGUGGAAUUCCAUGUGUAGCGGUGAAAUGCGUAGAUAUAUGGAGGAACACCGGUGGCGAGAGCGGCUCUCUGGUCUGUAACUGACGCUGAGGCUCGAAAGCGUGGGGAGCGAACAGGAUUAGAUACCCUGGUAGUCCACGCCGUAAACGAUGAGUGCUAGGUGUUGGAUCCUUUCCGGGAUUCAGUGCCGCAGCUAACGCAUUAAGCACUCCGCCUGGGGAGUACGACCGCAAGGUUGAAACUCAAAGGAAUUGACGGGGGCCCGCACAA
rnacentral:rRNA from 1 species